UGGGGAAUCUUGCGCAAUGGGGGCAACCCUGACGCAGCCACGCCGCGUGGAGGAAGACACCCCUAUGGGGCGUAAACUCCUUUUCUGUCGGAAGAAAACCCUGUUUUGCAGGGCCUGACGGUACGACAGGAAUAAGCACCGGCUAACUCCGUGCCAGCAGCCGCGGUAAUACGGAGGGUGCAAGCGUUGUCCGGAAUUACUGGGCGUAAAGGGUGUGCAGGCGGGACAGCAAGUCAGCGGUGAAAUACUGCGGCUCAACCGCAGAAGUGCCGUUGAAACUGUUGUUCUUGAGUCCUAGAGAGGUCGCUGGAAUUCGUGGUGUAGCGGUGAAAUGCGUAGAUAUCACGAGGAACACCAGAGGCGUAAGCGAGCGACUAGAUAGGUACUGACGCUGAGGCACGAAAGCGUGGGGAGCAAACAGGAUUAGAUACCCCCGUAGUCC
rnacentral:rRNA from 1 species